CCUACGGGGGGCAGCAGUGGGGAAUAUUGGACAAUGGGGGGAACCCUGAUCCAGCCAUGCCGCGUGUGUGAAGAAGGCCCUCGGGUUGUAAAGCACUUUCAGUGAGGAAGAACGCCUGGUGGUUAAUACCCAUCAGGAAAGACAUCACGCACAGAAGAAGCACCGGCUAACUCCGUGCCAGCAGCCGCGGUAAUACGGAGGGUGCGAGCGUUAAUCGGAAUUACUGGGCGUAAAGCGCGCGUAGGUGGCUUGAUAAGCCGGUUGUGAAAGCCCCGGGCUCAACCUGGGAACGGCAUCCGGAACUGUCAAGCUAGAGUGCAGGAGAGGAAGGUAGAAUUCCCGGUGUAGCGGUGAAAUGCGUAGAGAUCGGGAGGAAUACCAGUGGCGAAGGCGGCCUUCUGGACUGACACUGACACUGAGGUGCGAAAGCGUGGGUAGCAAACAGGAUUAGAUACCCCUGUAGUC
rnacentral:rRNA from 1 species